rnacentral:rRNA from 1 species
ACGAACGCUGGCGGCAUGCCUAACACAUGCAAGUCGAACGAUGCUUUCGGGCAUAGUGGCGCACGGGUGCGUAACGCGUGGGAAUCUGCCCGUGGGUCUGGGAUAACAGUUGGAAACGACUGCUAAUACCGGAUGAUAUCGCGAGAUCAAAGAUUUACCGCCCGAGGAUGAGCCCGCGUAGGAUUAGCUAGUUGGUGGGGUAAAGGCCUACCAAGGCGACGAUCCUUAGCUGGUCUGAGAGGAUGAUCAGCCACACUGGGACUGAGGCACGGCCCAGACUCCUACGGGAGGCAGCAGUGGGGAAUAUUGGACAAUGGGCGCAAGCCUGAUCCAGCAAUGCCGCGUGAGUGAUGAAGGCCUUAGGGUUGUAAAGCUCUUUUACCCGGGAUGAUAAUGACAGUACCGGGAGAAUAAGCCCCGGCUAACUCCGU